rnacentral:rRNA from 1 species
UUGAUCAUGGCUCAGGACGAACGCUGGCGGCGCGCCUAACACAUGCAAGUCGAACGGAGUUUAUCCGACUGAAGUUUUCGGAUGGAAGAUGGAUAAACUUAGUGGCGGACGGGUGAGUAACACGUGAGCAACCUGCCUUUCAGAGGGGGAUAACGAUUGGAAACGAUCGCUAAUACCGCAUAACAUUAUGAGGAGACAUCUUCUUAUAAUCAAAGGAGCAAUCCGCUGAAAGAUGGGCUCGCGGCCGAUUAGCUAGAUGGUGGGGUAACGGCCCACCAUGGCGACGAUCGGUAGCCGGACUGAGAGGUUGAACGGCCACAUUGGGACUGAGACACGGCCCAGACUCCUACGGGAGGCAGCAGUGGGGGAUAUUGCACAAUGGAGGAAACUCUGAUGCA